CCGCAUGAUCGGACUACCGAACAUAAUAGGGAGUACUUCUUUCUUUUUCUUUUACAUUUAUGAAUUGCAUUUAUUUUAUCACAUUGCAUAUAGGGUUAGAUUUAUUUUUACGUCAGUCCCGGGACAUGCAUGCAUUAAUUUCUUUUCUAUAUUUUAUACUAACACAUUUUUUAGUGUUUUUUAGUUUGUAGGUAAAGCUUAUCGGGAGAUUAGAGGAAGCGCAAAGAUCCGUCGAUCUCGAUUUCAAACCAAGGUAAGUGAUUUUAAUAUUAUUUUGUCUUUCCCUUCCUAUGCAUAUACAUACUAAUAUUUAUUUAAAUCUUUUUAGAUGAAUACGAGAGGGAGCGGCCGCAUGAUCGGACUACCGAACAUAAUAGGGAGUACUUCUAUCUUUUUCUUUUACAUUUAUGAAUUGCAUUUAUUUUAUCACAUUGCAUA